UUGUUAAGGGGCCCGGAGAGCAGUAGAUUGAGAGGUGGGCUAGAGCGGCCCCGCGCUGGCCUGUGAAGGCUCAGAGUGGUCUGACCGUGGGGAGCCGGGCAGGCAGCGGCUGGUUCGAACCGCGGCUUUAAAGGUUGUCACUAUGCAACUCUGGCUGUCCCAUGUAGACCAAACUGGCUUCAAACACAGAGCUAUGCCUGCCUGUGCCUCCUGACUACUGGAAUUAAAGGUCUGCACCACCACACCAGGCUUCAUAUUAACUUUUGAACAUAUGUGCUAAGACCUGAGUCAGCAUUUCCAGAAGAGUCUGUCAUCUUUCCUUCUUGACCCAUGACCUUAGUCUCAGCAUGCUCAGGAAUCUGCCCCAUGCAUACACUACAGUGCUUUCCUAUAUGGAUAUGUGUAAGCUCCCUGAGCCAGAGACCCAUCCAGUCAUUCUUUGGGAUGGAAAUAACCCCAGACCUGCUACAGACAAGGAAAAAGAUGGCUUGGUGGAAACUCUGCCACACCAGGACUCAUCCACUGCACCUUUCAGCUGCGUCUGGGCAACAAGCCCCACCUCAACCCCGGCUUCACCCAUCUGUGUGGGCAACAAGUAGUUUUGGAGUGGCACAGGAAUUGUUCUACACAUUCGAAUGUAGCAAUGAACAAAACUGUUCCUCUCUAGCAAUGGAGAAACUCAGGGAGGGGAAGUUAAAGAAUUUCAGUGUAAUGCUGUAAAGGAAGUCAAUUGCUGAUAAUGACUGAGUGGUGGUCAGCAAAGGCCUCUCUAAGAAGGUGACUUUCGGGGGCUGGAGAAAAGGCUCAGCAGUUAUGAGCAUUGGCUGCUUUAGCAGAUUUCCAAGCACAAUUUCCAGCACCCACAUGACAGCUAACAACCAUCCAUAAUUCCAGUU